rnacentral:tRNA from 1 species
GGAGUGGUAGUUCAGUUGGUUAGAAUACCGGCCUGUCACGCCGGGGGUCGCGGGUUCGAGUCCCGUCCCCUCCGCCA